rnacentral:rRNA from 1 species
GAUGAACGCUGGCGGCGUGCCUAAUACAUGCAAGUCGAGCGAACAGACGAGGAUCUUGCUCCUCUGACGUUAGCGGCGGACGUGUGAGUAACACGUGGAUAACCUACCUAUCUGACUGGGAUAACUUCGGGAAACCGGAGCUAAUACCGGAUAAUAUAUUGAACCGCAUGGUUCAAUAGUGAAAGACGGUUUUGCUGUCACUUAUAGAUGGAUCCCGGCCGCAUUAGCUAGUUGGUAAGGUAACGGCUUACCACGGCAACGAUGCGUAGACGACCUGAGAGGGGGAUCGGCCACACGGGAACUGAGACACGGACAAGACGCCUAAGGGAGGCAGCAGUAGGGAAUCGUACGCAAUGGGCGAAAGCCUGACGGAGCAACGCGGCGUGAGAGAUGAAGGUCUUCGGAUCGGAAAACUCUGUUAUUAGGGAAGAACAAAUGUGUAAGUAACUAUGCACGGCGUGACGGUACCUAAUCAGAAAGCCACGGCUAACUACGUG